CGGUAAAUAAUUUUUGUAGCAUAAAAGCUAAAUAAGUUCAUACAUACUGUAAUACAGAUAACCAAAAUAUAAAAUUUAAUUUACAGUGACACGUGGGCCCAUGAACGACCAAAAGUAUCAAAAGCGGUAAACCUACAGUUUUUGAAGGUGCAAGUCCAACUGUAGCCUUCAACAAAGUGAGCUAUCUACCGACUAUCUUGAGCCUGAAAUGGGUGGAAAGGAGGGUGGUGAGAUUAUAUAAUCCCAGUGAGUAAACAAAUAUCAUCUAAAAUAUCUAAAGUUGAGUAAAUGGAGACAGAUAAAAUAGAUUAACAUAAAAAUGAUUCACAGCAUUUCGAACUCGUUUAAAUAAGAUAAAAUAGAUUCAUUUCACCCAAAUAAACAACGAGGCUUAUGAUUUCCUGAAAAGUUUGGUUCGUGCCAAAAUCAUUCUCAUACUCAGUUAUUAGGGAUUCUUUGGCCAAGGGCUAUCCCAACCGAGUCCGCCAAGGUUGUUAAAAGUCAUGUACGCAUAAAUCAUGUUUUUAUUUUGAAAACAUAGCCAUUCCUUGGCGUUGGUUGAGUUCACUCUCACGUGGUGGUUUGACGUGAAGUGAACUCUAAAGUUUUAACCUCAGGAGUUAUCCAACCGCGCCUCUCAUACUGAGGUAUGAAUAAAAUAGGGUUAUCGUGCCCCUCUAAUAAGCUGGUCCACGAAACCCGUCCACUGCAGUGACCAAUUUAUAAUCCAGCAAUUCAAUAAAAUUCAAUAGCAUGACAUGACAAUUAUUUUAUUUUACAGCCUCUCAAGGCAAAUCAACAAUUCAUACUUUUUCAGCACAUUUACCAAAUCCAACCAUUCAUGCCAAUAUUAUCAUAAGCCAUUCAAUUCAAACCAUGAUUUAUAACACAGCAAUUAGUCUCCAAUUACUCCAUUUUCAAAACCAUCAUUCAAUUUCAAGACAAUUUUAUAAAAUCAUUUCAUUUAAUCACAUUUAGCUUAUAAAACAUAAAAAUUUACCAUUUAAACUCAUUUUUCAUAAAAUCACAAAAACGAAUUAAAAUUCACUUCAGAUAAUCAAGAUGAUGAUAAGGUUACUCACUGUAUCAAGAGUUUGAAUUUUG
rnacentral:lncRNA from 1 species